GGCAUGGUGGUACAUGUGUGUGUGCUAUGUUCUGUGUUGGAGGCCAGGAGAGCCACACUCAGGAAAGACGUCAGGAAUAACAGGGAGAAGCUGGAUGUGCUACUCAAUUUACUGUGACCUUGCUCAUUAUAGCUCUUUCCCACUGUAGAGCUGAACCAGGCUGGCUCAUUAUAGCCCUUUCCCACUGUAGAGCUGAACCAGGCUGGCUCAUUAUAGCCCUUUCCCACUGUAGAGCUGAACCAGGCUGGCUCAUUAUAGCCCUUUCCCACUGUAGAGCUGAACCAGGUUGUUUCACCUAUAGCCCUUUUUUCAGCUCUCCCUGGACAGUGAAUGUUGUUACAGCAUGGUAUUAGAAAGACUACCUCUAGCUCAAACAAAGAAAUGACUGAACCGUUAUUUUUCGGAAGACAACUCAUCCCAAGAGGGGAAUUCCUGAAGAUCCACAUUCUCAAAAUCACACUCCUCCAAAGCCACUCCUUCUUGAUUCUUCAUUUUGGAUGUUUUUAAAAAAAAAAAACAUUUAGUAUUAAAUAAAUAUUAAAUUAAAAAUCUUGUUGCCGUGGAGCUG